rnacentral:rRNA from 1 species
GAUGAACGCUAGCGACAGGCCUAACACAUGCAAGUCGAGGGGCAGCAUGAAAGUAGCUUGCUACUUUUGAUGGCGACCGGCGCACGGGUGCGUAACAGGUGUGCAAUCUGUCCAUAAUCGGGGAAUAGCCCAGCGAAAGUUGGAUUAAUGCUCCAUGUGAGUUUUAGAGGCAUCUCUUUAAUUUGAAACGUAAGGAUUAUGGGUGAGCACGCUUCUGUUUAGGUAGUUGGUGAGGUAACGGCUCACCAAGCCGACGAUCAGUAGGGGUUCUGAGAGGAAGGUCCCCCACAUUGGAACUGAGACACGGUCCAAACUCCUACGGGAGGCAGCAGUGAGGAAUAUUGGUCAAUGGACGCAAGUCUGAACCAGCCAAGUCGCGUGAAGGAUGAAGGUUCUAUGGAUUGUAAACUUCUUUUGUCUGAGGGUAAAAAAGCGGACGUGUCCGUUCUUGCAAGUAUCAGACGAAUAAGCAUCGGCUAACUCCGUGCCAGCAGCCGCAGUAACAC